GCGGUGGGCUGCAACCUGGAAGGCAGGCAGGCAGGCAGGCAGGCGGGCGGACGAGCCCUAGCCGUCCCGCCAGCUCGCUUGGAAGGGCGGGCACUUGUGCGCUUGCCAGCUCCCUUCUGCAAGCCUGCGGGCGACGUCCCGGGACUGGCUUUGGACCGAGAGGAGCGCUUUUCGCCUUUCCCGCUGAGGAGGCGCCGAAGGAGAAGCGCUGUCGCGCGAGGUCCGAGAAGAUGGCCAAGGCCAACAGCACCACCAGACAGCUUUGGAAGUUCCUCUGGACUGCUGCCCUCACCCUCUGCGUCCAUCUGCAGCCACAACUAGCCAAUUGUGUUUCCUCUUCACCUGACAUGAAUCGUUUUAUCUCCUGUUUGUUGCAACAUGCAAGAAAUAGAGCAGAGAACUGUUCCCGCUUUUACGAACUUUUCUGCUUUUGAUUCCCUCAUCCCACUGUUCAAGGAGGAGAAAAUAUUGAGAAGGAGAUCCAGGAAGAUACAAUCUCUGCGUUGCAUCUUCGCCUUGUGAUUAAUCUGGAAGUGAUUUUCGUUAGCUCACGUCAUUUUUUUUAAAAUUGUGUGUCGUUGAAGAGCAUUUUAUUGGGUGCUGCAAAGACUUGAACAGGAAAACAUAACAACU
rnacentral:lncRNA from 1 species